UACGUAGGGGGCGAGCGUUGUCCGGAAUUACUGGGCGUAAAGGGCGCGCAGGCGGCCGAGUAAGUCCGCUGUGAAAGACCAGGGCUCAACCCCGGGGUGUCAGCGGGGACUGCACGGCUGGAGUCUCGGAGAGGGAUGCGGAAUACCUGGUGUAGCGGUGGAAUGCGUAGAGAUCAGGUGGAACACCGAUGGCGAAGGCAGCAUCCUGGACGAGUACUGACGCUGAGGCGCGAAAGCGUGGGGAGCGAACGGG
rnacentral:rRNA from 1 species